rnacentral:rRNA from 1 species
AUCGAAUUAAAUACCAUGCUUCACUUCGUUUGCUUCGAGCCGACUAAUUUUUUUGCUUUUAGCUUUGCAGCCGUACUCGCAAGGCGGAAUGGUUAUCGUGUUAACAUCGCCACCAGUUUUUCUUUAAACUAGCAACCACCACUCAUCGUUGACUGGGAGGGGUAAUUGGGUAUCUAAUCCUUGUCCCUAUCCUCCCCUUCGUACCUCAGCGUCAAUCUGUAGUAGAUAGAAAGCUUUCGCCGUUAGUAUUCCACAGCUACUCUAAGGAUUUUAAACCUAAUAGCUGCAUUCUUCUAAUCCUCAAUUAGAUUCUAGCUUUAAUUGAUUUUUCUUCUUCAAUCUCACCUUUACUUUUUUAAAAUUUCUUUUUUAAAUAAAAUAUUGGUUUUUUUUUUAAAGAAAGAUACUAUAAUUGAAAAAUUCUUAAAGCCGCCUACGUACCCUUUACGCCUGUUUAAGAUGACUAACGUUUGCGUCUCUGGCCUUACCGAGUCUUCUGGCACCAGUUUUGGACAACACUAAUAGUAAGGUAAUAUCAUUUUUUUUCCCUUACGGUAUCACAAAUGACACAAAUGNGAUUUCAGUUAGCUAGUUCACUCUUGCGAGCAUUGAC